GUUAGCAUAAACUUUACACACUUGCAUUAGGCCCAGUUUUUAUGUCCCCCACUAUAGUAGUGGGGGACAUAUUGUUUUUGCCCUGUCUGUUGGUCUGUACGUUGGUCUGUACGUUGGUCUGUUUGCGCCAACUUUAACAUUUUGCAAUAACUUUUGCUAUAUUGAAGAUAGCAACUUCAUAUUUGGCAUGCAUGUGUAUCUCAUGAAGCUGCACAUUUUGAGUGGUGAAAGGUCAAGGUCAUCCUUCAAGGUCAGAGGUCAAAUAUAUGUGGCCAAAAUUGCUCAUUUUAUGAAUACUUUUGCAAUAUUGAAGAUAGCAACUUGAUAUUUGGCAUGCAUGUGUAUCUCAUGGAGCUGCACAUUUUGAGUGGUGAAAGGUCAAGGUCAUCCUUCAAGGUCAGAGGUCAAAUAUAUGUGGCCCAAAUCGCUUAUUUUAUGAAUACUUUUGCAAUAUUGAAGAUAGCAACUUGAUAUUUGGCAUGCAUGUGUAUCUCAUGGAGCUGCACAUUUUGAGUGGUGAAAGGUCAAGGUCAUCCUUCACAAGGUCAAGGUCAUCCUUCAAGGUCAAACAUCAUAUAGGGGGACAUUGUGUUUCACAAACACAUCUUGUUUUUUAACCAGGUUUUUAACCAGGUUUUCCGAAGGAAAAAACUGGUUAUUACAUUGGCGAAUGCGGGCGGGCUGGCUGGCGGGCUGGCUGGCUGGCUGGCGGGCUGGCGGAAUAAGCUUGUCCGGGCCAUAACUAUGUCGUUCAUUGUCAGAUUUUAAAAUCAUUUGGCACAUUUGUUCACCAUCAUUGGACGGUGUGUCGCGCGAAAUAAUUACGUCGAUAUCUCCAAGGUCAAGGUCACACUUUGAGUUCAAAGGUCAAAAAUGGCCAUAAAUGAGCUUGUCCUGGCCAUAACUAUGUCAUUCAUUGUGAGAUUUUAAAAUCAUUUGGCACAUUUGUUCACCAUCAUGGGACGGUGUGUCCCACGAAAGAAUCACGUCAAUAUCUCCAAUGUCAAGGUCGCCACGACUAAAAAUAGAUUUUAAAAAAAAAAAAACUUACAAAGGGGGUUAAUUCU